AAAGCACUGACAAAGCAAAGAAAUAUUUAUUUAAUAUUUACCUAUUACAAAAACUACAAUCAGAUAUUCUUACAAUAAUCUAUAUGGAUAAAUUGACUACAAAUAAUAUACCAAAAUUAUUAUUUAAAAACCCUGAGUCUAAAUAUACGAUAUAACAUACUUGGUACCUUGAAAUUGGUAAUUUGGUAUUGAAAGUUUCACCAAAAUAUUGUUUAAAGGCUAAUAAGUAAAAAAAUAAAGUUCCCAAUAUCUCAUGGGCCCAUGCCACCUUAUGCCACUGAUAGAUAGAAAGAGCUGAUUUAACACAGCACACUUCAAGGAUGCUCAUGACAUAACAAUUGAAAACCACUGACUUAUAUAAUAUAAACCUAUAAUAUGGAAAAUUUACUACCGUUAUUAUAUUUUGAUUCUUUUAAUUGCUCAAUACAUUUUGAGAAAAUAAAAAAAACUAC